GAUGAAGAACGCAGCGAAAUGCGAUAAGUAAUGUGAAUUGCAGAAUUCAGUGAAUCAUCGAGUCUUUGAACGCACAUUGCGCCCUCUGGUAUUCCGGAGGGCAUGCCUGUCCGAGCGUCAUUGCUGCCCUCAAGCACGGCUUGUGUGUUGGGCUCCGUCCCCCGAUCCCGGGGGACGGGCCCGAAAGGCAGCGGCGGCACCGCGUCCGGUCCUCGAGCGUAUGGGGCUUUGUCACCCGCUCUGUAGGCCCGGCCGGCGCUUGCCGAUCAACCAAAUUUUUAUCCAGGUUGACCUCGGAUCAGGUAGGGAUACCCGCUGAACUUAAGCAUAUCAAUAAGCGGAGGA
rnacentral:misc_RNA from 1 species